UGGUUCUGGCAUCGAUGAAGAACGCAGCGAAAUGCGAUAAAUAAUGUGAAUUGCAGAAUUCAGUGAAUCAUCGAGUUUUUGAACGCACAUUGCGCCCGCCAGCACUCUGGCGGGCAUGCCUGUCCGAGCGUCAUUUCAACCCCCGGGCACGUACCGGCGUUGGGGCACUACGGCGAGCGUAGGCCUCGAAAUACAGCGGCGGACCCCCUGGCGCUCCGGGCGAAGUAGCAGUACCCACGCCCUGGAGAGCCCUGCGGGCAUCUGGCCUCGACGCGAGUUACCACAAGGUUGACCUCGGAUCAGGUAGGAAUACCCGCUGA
rnacentral:misc_RNA from 1 species